GAUCUGUUAUAAAUUUUGGGUGCUUUUUUCCCCUAUUUGAAUCUCAUUCUUUUUCUUGCGGAUCUCACUCUUUGUCACUAUAUUUUUUUUCUUUUGAUAAGUGAUUCAGGAGAUGCUUUUGAUGGAAUUAAUCUUGCUCUUUUUUCAAAGAAAAUUUAUGGAAUCACUAGAGCAGCAAUGACAAACUGGGGCGGAUAUUGAUCAAAUUAAGAUGCAAUUGGAGGUUGCGUGGGAGGAGAGAAAUCAGAAAAUCGUGCGGGUUCGAGCCUCAAGCAAGAUACUGCUAUUGUAAUUG